CACGUAGUUAGCCGGCGCUUCUUCUGCAGGUACCGUCACUUUCGCUUCUUCCCUACUGAAAGAGGUUUACAACCCGAAGGCCAUCAUCCCUCACGCGGCGUCGCUGCAUCAGGCUUUCGCCCAUUGUGCAAUAUUCCCCA
rnacentral:rRNA from 1 species